GUCAGUCAAUCGGUCGGUCAAUCGGUCGGUCGGUCGGUCAAUCGGUCGGUCAAUCGGUCGGUCGGUCGGUC
rnacentral:miRNA from 1 species